GACGAACGCUGGCGGCGUGCCUAAUACAUGCAAGUCGAACGAACUCUGGUAUUGAUUGGUGCUUGCAUCAUGAUUUACAUUUGAGUGAGUGGCGAACUGGUGAGUAACACGUGGGAAACCUGCCCAGAAGCGGGGGAUAACACCUGGAAACAGAUGCUAAUACCGCAUAACAACUUGGACCGCAUGGUCCGAGCUUGAAAGAUGGCUUCGGCUAUCACUUUUGGAUGGUCCCGCGGCGUAUUAGCUAGAUGGUGGGGUAACGGCUCACCAUGGCAAUGAUACGUAGCCGACCUGAGAGGGUAAUCGGCCACAUUGGGACUGAGACACGGCCCAAACUCCUACGGGAGGCAGCAGUAGGGAAUCUUCCACAAUGGACGAAAGUCUGAUGGAGCAACGCCGCGUGAGUGAAGAAGGGUUUCGGCUCGUAAAACUCUGUUGUUAAAGAAGAACAUAUCUGAGAGUAACUGUUCAGGUAUUGACGGUAUUUAACCAGAAAGCCACGGCUAACUACGUGCCAGCAGCCGCGGUAAUACGUAGGUGGCAAGCGUUGUCCGGAUUUAUUGGGCGUAAAGCGAGCGCAGGCGGUUUUUUAAGUCUGAUGUGAAAGCCUUCGGCUCAACCGAAGAAGUGCAUCGGAAACUGGGAAACUUGAGUGCAGAAGAGGACAGUGGAACUCCAUGUGUAGCGGUGAAAUGCGUAGAUAUAUGGAAGAACACCAGUGGCGAAGGCGGCUGUCUGGUCUGUAACUGACGCUGAGGCUCGAAAGUAUGGGUAGCAAACAGGAUUAGAUACCCUGGUAGUCCAUACCGUAAACGAUGAAUGCUAAGUGUUGGAGGGUUUCCGCCCUUCAGUGCUGCAGCUAACGCAUUAAGCAUUCCGCCUGGGGAGUACGGCCGCAAGGCUGAAACUCAAAGGAAUUGACGGGGGCCCGCACAAGCGGUGGAGCAUGUGGUUUAAUUCGAAGCUACGCGAAGAACCUUACCAGGUCUUGACAUACUAUGCAAAUCUAAGAGAUUAGACGUUCCCUUCGGGGACAUGGAUACAGGUGGUGCAUGGUUGUCGUCAGCUCGUGUCGUGAGAUGUUGGGUUAAGUCCCGCAACGAGCGCAACCCUUAUUAUCAGUUGCCAGCAUUAAGUUGGGCACUCUGGUGAGACUGCCGGUGACAAACCGGAGGAAGGUGGGGAUGACGUCAAAUCAUCAUGCCCCUUAUGACCUGGGCUACACACGUGCUACAAUGGAUGGUACAACGAGUUGCGAACUCGCGAGAGUAAGCUAAUCUCUUAAAGCCAUUCUCAGUUCGGAUUGUAGGCUGCAACUCGCCUACAUGAAGUCGGAAUCGCUAGUAAUCGCGGAUCAGCAUGCCGCGGUGAAUACGUUCCCGGGCCUUGUACACACCGCCCGUCACACCAUGAGAGUUUGUAACACCCAAAGUCGGUGGGGUAACCUUUUAGGAACCAGCCGCCUAAGGUGGGACAGAUGAUUAGGGUGAAGUCGUACAAA
rnacentral:rRNA from 1 species